rnacentral:rRNA from 1 species
AGUGAACGCUGGCGGUAGGCCUAACACAUGCAAGUCGAACGGCAGCACAGUAAGAGCUUGCUCUUACGGGUGGCGAGUGGCGGACGGGUGAGGAAUACAUCGGAAUCUACUUUUUCGUGGGGGAUAACGUAGGGAAACUUACGCUAAUACCGCAUACGACCUACGGGUGAAAGCAGGGGAUCUUCGGACCCUGCGCGAUUGAAUGAGCCGAUGUCGGAUUAGCUAGUUGGCGGGGUAAAGGCCCACCAAGGCGACGAUCCGUAGCUGGUCUGAGAGGGUGAUCAGCCACACUGGAACUGAGACACGGUCCAGACUCCUACGGGAGGCAGCAGUGGGGAAUAUUGGACAAUGGGCGCAAGCCUGAUCCAGCCAUACCGCGUGGGUGAAGAAGGCCUUCGGGUUGUAAAGCCCUUUUGUUGGGAAAGAAAAGCAGCAGGUUAAUACCCCGCUGUUCUGACGGUACCCAAAGAAUAAGCACCGGCUAACUUCGUG